rnacentral:rRNA from 1 species
GAAGAAGUUACAAAGGGCACACGGGGGAUGCCUUGGCACGGCAGGCCGAUGAAGGGCGUAGUUGGCUGCGAUAAGCCUCGGGGAGCUGUCAGCAAGCGUUGAUCCGAGGAUGCCCGAAUGGGGAAACCCGACAUGGUGAACCCAUGUCACCCCACGCUGAACACAUAGGCGUGAGGGAGGCAACCCGGGGAACUGAAACAUCUAAGUACCCGGAGGAAAAGAGAGUAUUCCCUGAGUAGUGGUGAGCGAAAGGGGAUUAGCCCAAACCGAUGUUGUGUAAGCGAGCAGGCGUUGCGGCAUCGGGGUUGUACGGCGUGGCACGGGAAGCUGCUUCUUCCCGGCGGAGUUACAAAGCGCAAGUCUAGCAGAAGACGUCUGGAAAGCGUCGCCACAGAGGGUGACAGACCCGUAUGCGAAAGACUUGAGCCUCCGGCCGCGUUCGUGAGUACCACGGGGCACGGGAAAUCCUGUGGGAAUCUGGGGGGACCACCUCCCAAGGCUAAAUACCUGCCGUGACCGAUAGCGAACAAGUACCGUGAGGGAAAGGUGAAAAGUACCCCGGCGAGGGGAGUGAAACAGAACCUGAAACCGUGUGUCUACAAGCUGUGGAAGGGCUAUGCUCCUUGAGAGAAUGCCCGACCGCGUGCCUUUUGGAGUAUGAGCCGGCGAGUUACCCUCUGUCGCAAGCUUAAGGGAGUCACACCCGGAGGCGGAGCGAAAGCGAGUCUGAAUAGGGCGCCAGAGUGGCAGGGGGUAGACCCGAAACCGGGUGAGCUUACCAUGGCCAGGGUGAAGCGGGAGUAACAUCCCGUGGAGGCCCGCACCGACCAAUGAUGCAAAAUUGGCGGAUGAGCUGUGGUAAGGGGUGAAAUGCCAAACGAACCCGGAGAUAGCUGGUUCUCCCCGAAAUCGCUUUAGGGCGAGCCUCGUGAUGUUGUUGUCGGAGGUAGAGCACUGGAUGGGCUAGGGGGCGUCAAGCUUACCAAACCCAACCAAACUCCGAAUGCCGGCAACACGAGUCACGGGAGUUGGACGGUGGGAGAUGAGUUUCAUCGUCAAAAGGGAAACAGCCCAGACCGCCAGCUAAGGUCCCCAAGUACAUGCUAAGUGGGAAAGGAAGUGGGUAUACCGAGACAGCCAGGAGGUUGGCUUAGCAGCAGCCACCCUUUAAAGAGUGCGUAAUAGCUCACUGGUCAAGUGUCCCUGCGCCGAAAAUGUAACGGGGCUAAGCAUGUCACCGAAGCUGCGGAAAGCAACGCCAAGCGUUGCUUUGGUAGGGGAGCGUUCCCCACGCGACGAAGCUGUACCGUGAGGAGCAGUGGAGUGUGGGGAAGUGAGAAUGCCGGCAUGAGUAGCGCAAAAUGCGUGCGAACCGCAUUCACCGAAUGCCCAAGGUUUCCGACGCAAGGUCGAUCCACGUCGGGUUAGUCGGGCCUAAGCCGAGGACGAAAGUCGUAGGCGAUGGACAACAGGUUAAUAUUCCUGUACCGAGGGUGCUGAGUGAUGGGGUGACGCCGAAGGGUAGGCCAGCCGGGGAAUGGUAGUCCCGGUGCGAAACUUGUAGGUCUAUGAUCUGCCUAGGGAAAUCCGGGCGGGGAGACUGAGGAGUGAUCAGCUAGCUGUGUAAUGCAGCGAAGUGGUUGAGCCCAUGCGGCCGAGAAAAGCCUCUAAACGUUGACGCACACUCGCCCGUACCGCAAGCCGACACCGGUGGGCAGGUCGAGUAGACCAAGGUGAUCGAGAGAACCCUCGUUAAGGAACUCGGCAAAAUGGAGCCGUAACUUCGGGAGAAGGCUCGCCCCCGAGCUUGAAGCCACUUGCUGGCGUAAGGGCAUGGGGGUCGCAGAGAAACGGCCCAGGCGACUGCUUACCAAAAGCACAGGUCUCUGCUAACGCGAAAGCGGACGUAUAGGGGCUGACGCCUGCCCAGUGCCCGAAGGUUAAGGGGAUGCGUUAGUGCUUCGGUGCGAAGCGCUGAACCGAAGCCCGGGUGAACGGCGGCCGUAACUAUAACGGUCCUAAGGUUAGGGACGCUAGCCUUAGUAAAACCGAACCAUAUGCGGGAAACUCCUCGCACAGCUGUCCGGUACUCGUUCGUGCAUGGCACGAGCAGUAAAAAUCCGGCAGACAAGGGGACAAUCCGCAGGGAAGGCCUGGUCUGUACCAGGAACCCUCAGAGACUUUACGUUCGGGGCUGGCCGAUGAAGCUCGAUGCACAAUGGGUGACAGGUUUUGUGGACGGUGAAGGCUGUUUUCAUGUCGGCAUCAACACGCAUGCGGACAUGAAGACCGGCUUUCAGGUUCUUCCUGAGUUCACCGUCGUACAGCACAAACGCGAUGUGACCGUCUUGCACGCACUCAAGGCACACUUCGGAUGCGGCGUGGUUCGGACCAGCCACGGCGACCGGAUGGCCUACCGCGUGCGAAGCGUGGAGCACUUGCUCAACCACAUCGUCCCAUUCUUCACCGAGCACCCGCUCAAGACCAGGAAGCGUGUCGACUUCGAGAAGUUCCGACGCGUCAUACUGAUGAUGUCAGCGGGCGAGCAUCUGACGAUCGAUGGAGUCCAACGGAUUCGGACGAUCGCAAGAGCGAAAUUCCUUGUCGGGUAAGUUCCGACCCGCACGAAAGGCGUAACGAUCUGGGCACUGUCUCAACGAGGGACUCGGCGAAAUUGAAAUCUGCGUGAAGACGCGCAGUACCCGCAGCAGGACAAAAAGACCCCGUGGAGCUUUACUAUAGCUUGCCAUUGCGUCUGGGCUGUGCUUGUGUAGGAUAGGUGGGAGGCUGUGAAACCGGGCCGCCAGGUUCGGUGGAGCCAUCCUUGAAAUACCACCCUUGUGCAGUCGAGGCCCUAACGGUUGGCCGUGAUCCGGCAACCAGACAGUGGCAGGUGGGUAGUUUGACUGGGGCGGUCGCCUCCGAAAGUGUAACGGAGGCGCCCAAAGGUCACCUCAGGCCGAAUGGAAACCGGCCAGCGAGUGUAAAGGCAUAAGGUGGCUUUACUGCGAGACGGACAUGUCGAGCAGUUGCGAAAGCAGGGCUUAGUGAUCCCACGGUACCGAGUGGAAGGGCCGUGGCUUAACGGAUAAAAGCUACCCCGGGGAUAACAGGCUAGUCUUGCCCAAGCGUCCACAGCGACGGCAAGGCUCGGCACCUCGAUGUCGGCUCGUCCCAUCCUGGGGCUGAAGCAGGUCCCAAGGGUUUGGCUGUUCGCCAAUUAAAGGGGCACGCGAGCUGGGUUCAGAACGUCGUGAGACAGUUCGGUCUCUAUCCGCUGUGGGCGUAGGUGAUUUGAGGAGAUCUGUCCCUAGUACGAGAGGACCGGGAUGGACUGACCUCUGGUGGGCCGGUUGUCGCGCCAGCGGCAUCGCCGGGUAGCCAAGUCGGGAAGGGAUAACCGCUGAAAGCAUCUAAGUGGGAAGCCUACUCCAAGAUGAGAUCACCCUCCGGGAUAACCGGGUAAGCGCGGUGGUAGACCACCACCUUGAUAGGACGGAGGUGUAAGGGCUGCAAGGCCUUUAGCUGACCGUUACUAAUGCGCGAUCGGCUUCUUUCG